rnacentral:tRNA from 1 species
GGUUUUAUAUUUUAUAAAAAAUUUUAAAUUGCAAGUUUAAAGAAGGCAGAGAUCCUAAGACUU